rnacentral:pre_miRNA from 1 species
UUUUAAAAAUUUCAUCUGUUUCUACUGUUAAAAACUGGCAUGACUGAUAGAAUAACCAAACAGUUACAUGUGGCGUGCCACAUGUACCUCAUUCUGACGUAUAAGGACCAGUUUUUAAUAGUAGAAAUACAUGGAAUAUGUAAAA